rnacentral:rRNA from 1 species
CCAGGAAUCUUGCGCAAUGGGCGAAAGCCUGACGCAGCAACGCCGCGUGGGCGAUGAAGGCCUUCGGGUCGUAAAGCCCUGUUGUCGGGGACGAAGGGCGAAGGGUUAAUAGCCCCUAGCCUGACGGUACCCGACGAGGAAGCCCCGGCUAACUACGUGCCAGCAGCCGCGGUAAUACGUAGGGGGCGAGCGUUGUCCGGAAUCACUGGGCGUAAAGAGCGUGUAGGCGGCCCGGUAAGUCUGCUGUGAAAACCCGGGGCUCAACCCCGGGCGUGCAGUGGAAACUGCCGGGCUAGAGGGCGGCAGAGGCGAGUGGAAUUCCCGGUGUAGCGGUGAAAUGCGCAGAUAUCGGGAGGAACACCAGUAGCGAAGGCGGCUCGCUGGGCCGUCCCUGACGCUGAGACGCGAAAGCUAGGGGAGCGAACAGG